UACAGAGGGGGCAAGCGUUAUUCGGAAUUACUGGGCGUAAAGGGCUCGUAGGCGGCCAACUAAGUCAGACGUGAAAUCCCCAGGCUCAACCUGGGAACUGCGUCUGAUACUGGAUGGCUUGAAUUCGGGAGAGGGAUGCAGAAUUCCAGGUGUAGCGGUGAAAUGCGUAGAUAUCUGGAGGAAUACCGGUGGCGAAGGCGGCAUCCUGGACCGACAUUGACGCUGAGGAGCGAAAGCUAGGGGAGCAAACGGG
rnacentral:rRNA from 1 species